AAAUUGAAGAGUUUGAUCAUGGCUCAGAUUGAACGCUGGCGGCAGGCCUAACACAUGCAAGUCGAACGGUAACAGGAAGCAGCUUGCUGCUUCGCUGACGAGUGGCGGACGGGUGAGUAAUGUCUGGGAAACUGCCUGAUGGAGGGGGAUAACUACUGGAAACGGUAGCUAAUACCGCAUAACGUCGCAAGACCAAAGAGGGGGACCUUCGGGCCUCUUGCCAUCGGAUGUGCCCAGAUGGGAUUAGCUAGUAGGUGGGGUAACGGCUCACCUAGGCGACGAUCCCUAGCUGGUCUGAGAGGAUGACCAGCCACACUGGAACUGAGACACGGUCCAGACUCCUACGGGAG
rnacentral:rRNA from 1 species